UUUUUUUUUUUUCUUUUUAUUUAUUUAUUUUUUAUUUUAUAAUGAUUUUUAUUUUUUCUGUGGUAGCUGGUUUACAGUGUUCUGUCAAUUUUCUACUGUACAGCAAGGUGGCCCAGUUACACAUACAUGUAUACAUUCUUUUUUCUCACGUUAUCAUGCUCCAUCAUAAGGGAAGUAAAUCAGAAAGAGAGAGAUGAAUACCAUAUGAUAUCACAUAUCUGGAAUCUAAGAUAGGCCAAGUUACACAUACAUGUAUACAUUCUUUUUUCUCACGUUAUCAUGCUCCAUCAUAAGGGAAGUAAAUCAGAAAGAGAGAGAUGAAUACCAUAUGAUAUCACAUAUCUGGAAUCUAAGAUAGGCCAAAACUCCAUUCUUGCCAUCCUUUGUAUCACAGAUUGGAAACCUACGAACUAACUGCAUAUGCUGGAAUCCAUUGCCACCAGUCUUCUUGCUUAAAUUCCUUUAAUGAGAUAUACUUGCAUGAAAUUUUGGAGGCAGAAAAGAAAUAGAAGUUAAUAUAACUCGUCCCCCAGGGACAGACAGGUGCAUGAGCUUUGGCAGUAGACAAAUAAUGAGGUUUUGCCAGUGGCUUUAAUGAGUUCCCUUGAGAAUUACCAUCUUGGUGUCAUAGGUAGCUGAGAUCAUUGGCAGUGGUUUCCAGCAAUGUCUGUAAUAUACUAAUUUUUAAAAAUAAAGCACUUAAUUUUACUUUAUAUUUUUCAAUGGUUUUGUAACCACCUAAUGCCCUGAAUUAAAUGCCUUCCAUUUUGACUGGUUUCUGUUUUCUUGACUAAUCCCUGGCCUAUGUAUUUUUUCUUUCUUCUCUUCCUGCAUAUUGAAAUGUAAUACUAUUUCUGAGUAGGAAAUGAAGGAGAUAAAAUAAUAAUAAUAACCUAACAUUUAGUUCUUUACCAAUGAUGUGUUUUUAGAGAGCCCUUCCUAACCACUCUGUCUAAAAUUUCAACCCUACUCUCAUUUCUCUGCUCGUUGAAAUCUCCUUAGCAUUUUUCAUUGUUUUGCAUAAUAGUUAUUUUACCUACCAUGUUUAUUUCUUUCUGGAAAUUUAUUAAGCUCAUGAAGAUGAAUAUUUUUGACCAUUUAUUUCACUGGUGAAUCAUCAGCUCUUCAAAAAGUACCUGGUUUGUAGUAGGUGCUCAGCAUAUAUCUGUUAAUGAAUCAGUUGAGUACCUUUUAUGUAUCAGAUUUUAUUCUACGAGUCAUAUGCAUAUUAUCUUAUUUAAUCCUUGUUUUAAAAAAUUAUCCAAUGGUUAUUACUAUUAUGCCCAAUUUACAAGAGCAAAAUCUUAAUAGCAAAAGUGUUGGAGCAAAGCUUUGAACUCCAGAAGACUGAGUCAAAUCUGUGAUGCCACACUGAGUAUCUAUUCUUUUUUCUGGUAUUGAACUAGAUAACUUUAAAUUGUCUUGAAACCUCAUAAGGAUACAAUGUAGUAUGUAUAUUUAUUCCAUUUGUAAAAUGAGAAAGUUGAGCCUUAUAGAAAUUAAGAAAUUUUUACAAAAUGAUUCAGCAACUUAAAACUGCACCCAGGUCUGUCUGCCGCAAAAGUCCCAGGACCACGCAUUUUACCAAACUAGGGAAUGUUUUCAAAGAUCAUCACAUGCUUUGCUCUUGAACUGAGAUAAAACAUAUAAAGAAAAGUUAUGUUACAUAUGUACUGCCCAUGAGUAAAACCAGAGCAAUAGGUUUAAAUCUGCAUAUACUUUUAUUAGAACAGACACAUUUUAGUACAAGGGAGGUCUUCUUGUCAUAUGUUAAUAUAAUCUUUGUUAGAGCAUAUUAUUUUCAUUAGGCAAUAACUGUUUCCAGGGUGUGAGCCUAUUUAGCUUAUAAUAAGACACAGUGUAAAUACCAUGCCCCCAAUUCCAAAAGCUCAGCAAAAGCAAAACAGCUGUCUAAUAUGAGGCAUUUUUAUAGGAUGAAUGAACAGCACAUAUUGUUAGAGAAAGGCCAAUUUUAUGAAACCACACUGGAAAAAGCAAGUUGGGCCCUGCCUAUUCUUCUUUCUUUUGUUAGGCAAGGAGGUGUGUGUCGGGGGAGGAUAUAAGAUACAGACAGCGGUCUCUCUUAGAAAGUCUCUGGUUAUGGAUAUUUCUUCAGAAGAUCCUACCCUCCAUUCAGUAAUCAUAUAAACAUGAGCGAGAGUUUAGCCAAAAGAAGGGAAGAUGCUUGAAAUAGACACUGUAAUUUCCAUUAGCGUGUAGAAGAACCUUAUUAGACAAAGCAUAACUGCAGAUACAUGUUCUUCAUUGACUGCAAUCACCAUUUGCAUGUAAAAGGAGGAUAU
ensembl:lncRNA